AUUGAACGCUGGCGGCAUGCCUUACACAUGCAAGUCGAACGGCAGCACGGGUGCUUGCCCCUGGUGGCGAGUGGCGAACGGGUGAGUAAUACAUCGGAACAUGUCCUGUAGUGGGGGAUAGCCCGGCGAAAGCCGGAUUAAUACCGCAUACGAUCUACGGAUGACAGCGGGGGACCUUCGGGCCUCGCGCUAUCGGGUUGGCCGGUGGCUGAUUAGCUAGUUGGUGGAGUAAAGGCCUACCAAGGCGACGAUCAGUAGCUGGUCUGAGAGGACGACCAGCCACACUGGGACUGAGACACGGCCCAGACUCCUACGGGAGGCAGCAGUGGGGAAUUUUGGACAAUGGGCGAAAGCCUGAUCCAGCAAUGCCGCGUGUGUGAAGAAGGCCUUCGGGUUGUAAAGCACUUUUGUCCGGAAAGAAAUCCUUGGCCCUAAUACGGUCGGGGGAUGACGGUACCGGAAGAAUAAGCACCGGCUAACUACGUG
rnacentral:rRNA from 1 species